AUGAGAAUGAAAACUAAAACAAAAACUUAACUGGUUUUAUGUCAAGUGUUGAUAAUUUUAGCGAUAAGCCAAAAGAAAAAAAAAAACAAAAAAAAAAAUGUUACUUUGCGAGAAAAAAGUGGCAGAAAAAAAAAAAAAAAGAGAAAAAAACUAGAAGUGUAUGAAUAUUGAUUUUGUGUAAACAACACAGAGUCACGGCUAACAUGA